rnacentral:rRNA from 1 species
AUUGAACGCUGGCGGCAGGCCUAACACAUGCAAGUCGAACGGUAGCACAGAGAGCUUGCUCUCGGGUGACGAGUGGCGGACGGGUGAGUAAUGUCUGGGAAACUGCCUGAUGGAGGGGGAUAACUACUGGAAACGGUAGCUAAUACCGCAUAACGUCGCAAGACCAAAGAGGGGGACCUUCGGGCCUCUUGCCAUCAGAUGUGCCCAGAUGGGAUUAGCUAGUAGGUGGGGUAACGGCUCACCUAGGCGACGAUCCCUAGCUGGUCUGAGAGGAUGACCAGCCACACUGGAACUGAGACACGGUCCAGACUCCUACGGGAGGCAGCAGUGGGGAAUAUUGCACAAUGGGCGCAAGCCUGAUGCAGCCAUGCCGCGUGUAUGAAGAAGGCCUUCGGGUUGUAAAGUACUUUCAGCGGGGAGGAAGGUGUUGUGGUUAAUAACCGCAGCAAUUGACGUUACCCGCAGAAGAAGCACCGGCUAACUCCGUGCCAGCCGCCGCCGUAA